rnacentral:lncRNA from 1 species
AAAAAUUACACUUUCACAUACUUUUUCUUUUUCCUCUAUUUUGAACUUGACACAUACUUUUCACAUGUAUUUUACCCAAAAAAACCUUCAAACUAAACAAACUGUAUUAACAUCUAUUUUACAAUUGAUUAAAAUUUACUACGAACCUAAUUUCUAAAUCACAAACCUAAAUCUACAAUAUUUAUCUAUAAAAUGAAAACUUUCCAAAAAUAGCAGUUUUUAAGAAAUUAUUUUAAAAUACAACAUAUUGAUGAAAAAUUCUUAAAGAGUAUUCAUCUGUCCACAAAUAGUCUAGUUAUCCUAAUUUCUAAAUCACAAACCUAAAUCUACAAUAUUUAUCUAUAAAAUGAAAACUUUCCAAAAAUAGCAGUUUCUAAAAAAAAUAUUAAAAAAUACAACACAUUGAUGAAAAAUUCUUAAAUAAUACUCAUCUAUCCACAAAUAUUCUUGUUAUCCUAAUUUCUUACUCACAAACCCAAAGUAUUCAUCUGUCCACAAAUACUCUAGUUAUCCUAAUUUCUAAAUCACAAACCUAAAUCUACAAUAUUUAUCUAUAAAAUGAAAAUUUUCCAAAAAUGGCAGUUUCUAAGAAAAAUAUUAAAAAAUACAACACGUUGAUGAAAAAUUCUUAAAUAAUACUGAUCUAUCCACAAAUAUUCUUGUUAUCCUAAUUUCUUAAUCACAAACCCAAAUCUACAAUAUUUAUCAAUAAAAUAAAAACUUUCCAAAAAUAGCAGUUUUUAAGAAAAUUACUUAAAAAUACAACACAUUGAUGAAAAAAUCUUAAAUAAUAUUCACCCAUCCACAAAUAUUCUUGUUAUCCUAAUUUUUAAAUUACAAACCCAAAUCUACAAUAUUUAUCAAUAAAAUGAAAACUUUCCAAAAAUAGUAGUUUUUAAGAAAAUUAUUUAAAAAUACAACACUUUGAUGAAAAAUUAUUAAAUAAUAUUAAUCUAUCCACAAAUAUUCUUUUUCUUCAAAUUUUUAAAUCACAAACCCAAAUCUACAAUAUUUCUCUAAAAAAUGAAAACUUUCCAAAAAUAGCAGUUUUUAAGAAAAUUAUUUAAAAAUUCAACAUAUUAAUGAAAAAUUCUUAAUUAGUAUUCAUCUGUCCACAAAUAGUCUAGUUAUCCUAAUUUCUAAAUCACAAACCUAAAUCUACAAUAUUUAUCUAUAAAAUGAAAACUAUCCAAAAAUAGAAGUUUUUAAGAAAAUUAUUUAAAAAUACAACAUAUUGAUGAAA